rnacentral:lncRNA from 1 species
CUGCAAUACCCCCUGUGGUGACGAAUAGCCAUACCCUAGUGGUGGUGGUUGGAGAUACACAUAUCCUAGUGGUGGCUACGGCGGGUAUCCACCAUAAUAGGGUAGAAGUAGUUAUGGGUGUCCAUAUCUUAUCGGAGGAGGAGAAUAUCUUGCAGGUAGCGGGGGCGGGGUGGAUAUUGCUCAUUUCUUUUAGCAAUUGGAUAAGGAGGAUACCCUACAGGUGGUGGUAAAGGAUAUAUAGAUUGGGUCCCGCCAUCAUCUGAUUUGUCGAAAAAGCAAUGACAGGCUUAUCAUCUUCAAUUUUUGUUGCAACUGGUGGUGCCACCUCAAAUCCAUCGACAACUUUCUCAGUAAACCAGUACGUCCCUUAGGCUUCCUACUAGAUUUCCUUACUUGAUAACUCACAAACUUCUGUUGCUUCCCAUCGCCUCAUCCAUCAGUUGAUGCGCGGAGAUUCAAGAUGCUCUUUUAAUGGCACAUGCACUUCGCCAACAUUUUUAUCCCCCAUGCACAUUGACACACAAGCUUGAUCACAAGAUUCAGGUAGUUUUGCUGGAGCGCCGCAUUCUCCACUAUGAACUUCAUAGGAAAAUUUCAAGUGGGAUUACUGUCUCCAUCGUUGUCCAUUGGCAUUUUGUCUUCUAUUUCGAUUUUCUUGUCUCCGUCGGAGAUUAAAACUACAACAUAGACAUCCAUUUUCAUGAUGAGGUUGACUUUGUUUAGAUUCCUUGCCCACAUAACAUAAUUUACAAUAUAUGGUAACCCAUUUUGAUGAUUUUAAUGAACUAAAUAAACCAAAGAAAUUGUUAUGCAAGAAGCAAAAUACCAGAAUCGCUCUGAUAUCAAUUUGUUGAG